CAAACUUUAGUUGCAUCAGAAUCACAUGGAGGGCUUAAGACACAGAUUUCUGAGCCCAGCCUCCAGUUUCUGAUUCACUACAUUGGGGUGAGGCUCAGGAAUAUGCAUUUUGGACAUGAUUCCAGGUGAUGCUGAUGCUGCUGUUUUGAAGACUAUACUGUGAGAACCACUGGAUAAGACAAUACUAAACUGAUACACAAAGGAUCCCCGUACUUCAUCAAAAUAUCAAUGUUGUCCAUGACACACAAAGAACCCAGCUGUAGUUUAAUUCAGCAUCACAGUCCCAACAUGUUUUAAAACAUGUUCCAGCUUUUGGUCCCAGGAUUAUUCAACCUAGCUCAUAAAAGAAAACAAUAUUGCAUUUCUAAGUAUUGGCUCCUAGAAUUGGCAAGUUUAGUCAAGAAAAGCUGGAAUGCCGUUAAAACAACACCCUGUCAUCUUUCAAUCAGUCCUUAGCUGAAGUUAAAAUCCCACUCAUUCUGCAUGAUCCAGCCUCUGUAGCAUAGAGUGAGUAGCCCCUUAACAAGAACCAAAAUGGAGGGUACGGAUGAGGCUCAGAUCGUCACCACCUGGAGAAUAGAGACAGUGACUGAGUCACCAGGAAAUCUGUCCCCUGCUCAUCCCAGAAUCCCCGAGCUUUGACUUUUUAAGAGAACAUGUGACAGAUAAUGCCAUCUGAGAAGGAUUGCCUCCUUUACUGUAUGUUUUCCACUGAGAUGAAGAUUUUGGUCAUUUCCUCAUUCAUGUUCCUGCUUUUCAAAACCCAAGCAAGAAAGGAAACUUCUACAGUGACUUUCUCAUUAUGAAAUCUUAGCAUUCACUAGUCGGCCAUAAUGGAAAACCAGCCAAAUGGACACAUAUACACUGGUCUGUACCCGCAGAGAAAGAAAUGCAAAUCUCUGUGAUCAGAAAACUAUCCUAUCUUGUACAUUGUUAAAAGUCUGCCUCCAAAAAGUUUACUUCUGGAAUACUGUAAUUGAAUAGAAUCAGGGAUCCUACCUGUGUCCUUCAACUUUCACAUCUUGUCUACUCAAGUAAGGGUUGAAUUUGCAUGACUAUAUCUAAGGUUCGAGGGCUUACCUGUUGGCAGUAGACCCAGUAGUCUAUGAAUGGAAAUGGGCAAACCUGUGACCUCCCAAAACUUUAAUAUGAAAGUUUUGUUUGUGUAUACUCAUGGCAUUAUUCUUUUAAUAAAGAGAUAAUCUAUAUAGUUUUCUUUUUUAAAAGAUACUUUUAUUUCUUUAUUGUUGGGAACUGACACAGCUAAUUUCUUUCUGAAGAGGUUCUUUGGUUGAGAAUGG
rnacentral:lncRNA from 1 species